UACGUAGGGGGCAAGCGUUGUCCGGAUUUAUUGGGCGUAAAGAGCGUGUAGGCGGCCAGGUAGGUCUGCUGUGAAAACUCGAGGCUUAACCUCGAGCUGUCGGCGGAAACCAUCUGGCUAGUGUCCGGAAGAGGAGAAUGGAAUUCCCGGUGUAGCGGUGAAAUGCGCAGAUAUCGGGAAGAACACCCGUGGCGAAGGCGGUUCUCUGGGACGGUACUGACGUUGAGACGCGAAAGCGUGGGGAGCGAACAGG
rnacentral:rRNA from 1 species